UUUGAUCAUGGCUCAGAUUAGACACUUUGGCGGGAUGCUUUACACAUGCAAGUCGAACGGCAGCACGGACUUCGGUCUGGUGGCGAGUGGCGAACGGGUGAGUAAUGUAUCGGAACGUGCCUAGUAGCGGGGGAUAACUACGCCGCGAAAGCGUAGCUAAUACCGCAUACGCCCUUCGGGGAAAGCGGGGGACCUUCGGGCCUCGCACUGUCGACGACUGAUAUCCAGUUAGCUAGUUGGUGGGGUAACGGCUCACAAGGCGACGAUCCGUAGCUGGUUUAGAGAGGACGACCAGCCACACUGGGACUGAGACACGGCCCGGGCUCUGCAGGAGGCAGCAGUGGGGGUACACGGACAAUGCGGAAACCCUGAUCAGCCAUCCACGUGUGCGAUGAAGGCCUUCGGGUUGUAAAGCACUUUUGGCAGGAAAGAAACGGCACAGGAUAAUACCCCGUGCAACUGUGUGCCUGCAGAAUAAGCACCGGCUAACUACGUGCCAGCGAAAGCGCGGUAAUACGUAGGGUGCAAGCGUUAAUCGGAAUUACUGGGCGUAAAGCGUGCGCAGGCGGUUCGGAAAGAAGGAUGUAAGAUCCCAGAGCUUAACUUUGGAACUGCAUUUUUAACUACCGAGCUAGAGUGUGUCAGAGGGAGGUGGAAUUCCGCGUGUAGCAGUGAAAUGCGUAGAUAUGCGGAGGAACACCGAUAGCGAAGGCAGCCUCCUGGGGGGAUAACACUGACGCUCAUGCCACAGCGGCAGAACAAACAGGAUUAGAUACUGGUAGUCCACGCCCUAAACGAUGUCAACUAGCUGUUGGAGCCUUCGGGCCUUGGUAGCGCAGCUAACGCGUGAAGUUGACCGCGCAAGUACGGUCGCAAAGAUUAAAAACUCUAAGGAAUUGACGGGGACCGCACAAGCGGUGGAUGAUGGAUUAAUUCGAUGCAACGCGAAAAACCUUACCUACCCUUGACAUACGGAAUCCCGAAGAGAUUUGGGAGUGCUCAUGAAGAACCGGAACACAGGUGCCAUGGCUGCAUCGUCAGCUCGUGUCGUGAGAUGUUGGGUUAAGUCCACCAAUGAGCGCAACCCUUGUCAUUAGUUGCUACGAAAGGGUACUCUAAUGAGACUGCCGGUGACAAACCGGAGGAAGGUGGGGAUGACGUCAAGUCCUCAUGGCCCUUAUGGAGUAGGGCUUCACACGUCAGCCUGUGGUCAAGGACAGAGGGUCGCCAACCCGCGAGGGGGAGCCAAUCCCAGAGAAGCUGAUCAUGAUGCAGGAUCGCAGUCUGCAACUCGACUGCGUGAAGUCGGAAUCGCUAGUAAUCGCGGAUCAGCAUGUCGCGGUGAAUACGUUCCCGGGUCUUGUACACCGCCCGUCACACCAUGGGAGUGGGUUUUACCAGAAGUAGUUAGCCUAACCGUAAGGAGGGCAGGUUACCACGGUAAAGUUCAUGACUGGGGUGAAGUCGUAACAAAGGUAA
rnacentral:rRNA from 1 species